UCGAAAAGAAAAAGAAAAAUAUUUUCCUACAUAGAAAGUUAAUAAGAGGAAUUGUUAAAUACCCCUUGACAACAAAUGUGAAACGAAUUUCGCAAUAAGGGAAAAGCGAUUUGGCAGAACUUUUCCUAUUUGCCAGAAGAAAACUUAUGCCCUGGGCAAAACUAAAGCCAUGAAAGCAUAAUGACAACCCCGACGACAAGUGCGCGUAAUGGCUGAAUAACAACAAAGUUGAGGAGUGCAAGAAAUGGAAGCAGGACGAAGGACGAAGGACGAAAAACAAGGAACAAAACUUGGUAGACAAUUAGCAAUGGGACCCAAUGUGAAUUUUUCGAAUUUCAGUCGGGAUUUUUCUGGGAACAGAGAAAAAAAUUGGUAUACAAAUACAAAUUUAAAUAUUUUCAGAUUUUAGUCAAAACCUAAAAAAACUACUACUACUACUUUGUUAUUAUUAUAACCCAUUAUUAUAAUAACCUACAUAUACUUAUUUUCUACGAAUAGAUAAGUUAAAUAAUGUAUAAAAUUCCAAAUUAUUUUAAACAUAUUUUAAACAUGCAUUGAAA